AGUGAACGCUGGCGGUAGGCCUAACACAUGCAAGUCGAACGGCAGCACAGGAGAGCUUGCUCUCUGGGUGGCGAGUGGCGGACGGGUGAGGAAUACAUCGGAAUCUACUUUUUCGUGGGGGAUAACGUAGGGAAACUUACGCUAAUACCGCAUACGACCUACGGGUGAAAGCAGGGGAUCUUCGGACCUUGCGCGAUUGAAUGAGCCGAUGUCGGAUUAGCUAGUUGGCGGGGUAGAGGCCCACCAAGGCGACGAUCCGUAGCUGGUCUGAGAGGAUGAUCAGCCGCACUGGAACUGAGACACGGUCCAGACUCCUACGGGAGGCAGCAGUGGGGAAUAUUGGACAAUGGGCGCAAGCCUGAUCCAGCCAUACCGCGUGGGUGAAGAAGGCCUUCGGGUUGUAAAGCCCUUUUGUUGGGAAAGAAAUCCAGCUGGUUAAUACCCGGUUGGGAUGACGGUACCCAAAGAAUAAGCACCGGCUAACUUCGUGCCAGCAGCCGCGGUAA
rnacentral:rRNA from 1 species